rnacentral:lncRNA from 10 species
AAAAAGAAUGGAAUCACAGACUGGGUUAAAUAACUAAUAUGGCCUGUACUUUUGAAAUUGAAAAUAAUCAGCUUCUUGAUAUGCAAAUACUCCCUGUAAUCUGUUGCAGCCACCAUAAAGACAGACACCACUUCUCAGCCUCACCUCACAGAGUAGGUAGUGUGACCAGCAUAGUUAUUGAGACUUAGGGGAAAGCCCAUUGGAAAGCUUCUAGGAAACUUUUGGUUUUCAGAUAAAAGGAGCAUAUCCGGCCGGGCGUGGUGGCUC